rnacentral:rRNA from 1 species
UACGUAGGGCGCAAGCGUUGUCCGGAAUUAUUGGGCGUAAAGAGCUCGUAGGCGGUUUGUCGCGUCUGCUGUGAAAACUCGAGGCUCAACCUCGGGCUUGCAGUGGGUACGGGCAGACUAGAGUGCGGUAGGGGUGACUGGAAUUCCUGGUGUAGCGGUGGAAUGCGCAGAUAUCAGGAGGAACACCGAUGGCGAAGGCAGGUCACUGGGCCGCAACUGACGCUGGGGAGCGAAAGCAUGGGGAGCGAACAGG